rnacentral:rRNA from 1 species
CAUCCUACGGGACGCAGCAGUGGGGGAUAUUGCACAAUGGGGGAAACCCUGAUGCAGCGACGCCGCGUGAGGGAAGACGGCCUUCGGGUUGUAAACCUCUGUCGCAGGGGACGAAGGAAGUGACGGUACCCUGUGAGGAAGCCACGGCUAACUACGUGCCAGCAGCCGCGGUAAUACGUAGGUGGCGAGCGUUGUCCGGAAUUACUGGGUGUAAAGGGGGCGCAGACGGCGAUGCAAGCCAGGAGUGAAAGCCCGGGGCCCAACCCCGGGACUGCUCUUGGAACUGCGUGGCUGGAGUGCAGGAG